rnacentral:rRNA from 2 species
ACGUGGGUAACCUACCCAUAAGACUGGGAUAACUCCGGGAAACCGGGGCUAAUACCGGAUAAUAUUUUGAACUGCAUAGUUCGAAAUUGAAAGGCGGCUUCGGCUGUCACUUAUGGAUGGACCCGCGUCGCAUUAGCUAGUUGGUGAGGUAACGGCUCACCAAGGCGACGAUGCGUAGCCGACCUGAGAGGGUGAUCGGCCACACUGGGACUGAGACACGGCCCAGACUCCUACGGGAGGCAGCAGUAGGGAAUCUUCCGCAAUGGACGAAAGUCUGACGGAGCAACGCCGCGUGAGUGAUGAAGGCUUUCGGGUCGUAAAACUCUGUUGUUAGGGAAGAACAAGUGCUAGUUGAAUAAGCUGGCACCUUGACGGUACCUAACCAGAAAGCCACGGCUAACUACGUGCCAGCAGCCGCGGUAAUACGUAGGUGGCAAGCGUUAUCCGGAAUUAUUGGGCGUAAAGCGCGCGCAGGUGGUUUCUUAAGUCUGAUGUGAAAGCCCACGGCUCAACCGUGGAGGGUCAUUGGAAACUGGGAGACUUGAGUGCAGAAGAGGAAAGUGGAAUUCCAUGUGUAGCGGUGAAAUGCGUAGAGAUAUGGAGGAACACCAGUGGCGAAAGCGACUUUCUGGUCUGUAACUGACACUGAGGCGCGAAAGCG